UUUAUAUGUAAUAAUAUGAUAGUAAUGUUAGUUCAAUAGCACCUUUUAUGCUACAAUGAGCAGAGGGAGCUAGUCUUGUGUUUAUGGCUAUGUAGGUAUGGAAUCUGUGAAGGCACAUGCAUUUCUAGGUUGACUACGCUCCUUGUAAUUUGAAAUGGAAAAGUCAGUAAAAUCAAACAAGAUAUUUCUACAGACAGAUAUCAUCUGCCAGUGAAGGUACUGUUAAACAAACGUGUCCACAGACAGAUAUCAUCUGCCAGUGAAGGUACUGUUAAACAAACGUGUCCACAGACAGAUAUCCUCUGCCAGUGAAGGUACUGCUAAACAAACGUGUCCACAGACAGAUAUCCUCUGCCAGUGAAGGUACUGUUAAACAAACGUGUCCACAGACAGAUAUCCUCUGCCAGUGAAGGUACUGUUAAACAAACGUGUCCACAGACAGAUAUCCUCUGCCAGUGAAGGUACUGUUAAACAAACGUGUCCACAGACAGAUUGAAUCUGAGACUAGAUAUGACUGUAUAGCAGUGUACUAUGAGUCCCAAGACAGACUUCUUCCUGUGAAUGGCUUAAUCAUGUAUACAGUGUGUGCUUGAUCCCUUUCUGUAUUUUCCCAGAUUGUUUUUCCAGCUCAAACAUGUCGUAGGUUUCUUCCAUGGAACCUAAACUGUAGGAUUUCAUUUUCAGUUCUACUUUCCAACCCAAUCGUUUAAACAUACCAACAUGGCAGCAGGUUUGCAGGUCUAUGAGUCAUGGUGAAAUUGCAUGAAAUGGGGAAGUCGUGUGUGUGUGUGUGUGUGCGUGUGUGCGUGUGUGCGUGCGUGUGUGCGUGCGCUCCAGGGCCACAGGCAGGUUUGUGCAGGUAUUCAUAUCCCUUAACGCCAAUUAAUAUCAACUGUUGCUGCUACAGCAUGGCAUUCCAAGAAGUGUAAAAUGCAAACCAUACACUCUGGCUAACCCACUUCUCUGUCUCUCUCUACCUUUCCCUCUCUUGAUAUUUCUCCCCCUAACUCUGUUUUUCUUCUUACUGUCUUCCACUUUCUCCUUUGCUUUCUUUCUCUGCCUCUCUCUCACUU
ensembl:lncRNA